rnacentral:rRNA from 1 species
UAAGUCCCGCAACGAGCGCAACCCUUGUCAUUAGUUGCUACAUUUAGUUGGGCAUCUCAAUGAGACUGCCGGUGACAAACCGGAGGAAGGUGGGGAUGACGUCAAGUCCUCAUGGCCCUUAUGGGUAGGGCUACACACGUCAUACAAUGGCUGGUACAAAGGGUUGCCAACCCGCGAGGGGGAGCUAAUCCCAUAAAGCCAGUCGUAGUCCGGAUAGUAGUCUGCAACUCGACUACGUGAAGUCGGAAUCGCUAGUAAUCGUGGAUCAGAAUGUCACGGUGAAUACGUUCCCGGGUCUU